rnacentral:rRNA from 1 species
GACGGAGGAUGCAAGCGUUAUCCGGAAUGAUUGGGCGUAAAGCGUCUGCAGGUGGCAGUUCAAGUCUGCUGUCAAAGACCGGGGCUUAACUUCGGAAAGGCAGUGGAAACUGAACAGCUAGAGUAUGGUAGGGGCAGAGGGAAUUCCUGGUGUAGCGGUGAAAUGCGUAGAGAUCAGGAAGAACAUCGGUGGCGAAGGCGCUCUGCUGGACCAUAACUGACACUCAGGGACGAAAAGCUAGGGGAGCGAAUGGG